GGCGAAGUGCGGGCAGGCAGCGGGGGUAAGACGUGGGGCUGAAGCGUUGUUCGGAGUGGUGGGGCGGAAAGGGCGCGUGGGCGGUGUGUGGCGUGUGCUGUGAAAUCCCGGGGCUCAACCUCGGGCCUGCAGUGGGUACGGGCAGACUAGAGUGCGGUAGGGGAGAUUGGAAUUCCGGGUGUAGCGGUGGAAUGCGCAGAUAUCAGGAGGAACACCGAUGGCGAAGGCAGAUCUCUGGGCCGUAACUGACGCUGAGGAGCGAAAGGGUGGGGAGCAAACAGGCUUAGAUACCCCUGAGUC
rnacentral:rRNA from 1 species